CCUGUGGGAGAGACCGCUCUUCAUUGAAGGAGGAGCGGCGCCGAAGGAGCAACCGGCCCCGGAAACUCUCAGGCAAACGGACCGCAGGGGG
rnacentral:ncRNA from 1 species